rnacentral:rRNA from 1 species
GAGUUUGAUCAUGGCUCAGGAUGAACGCUAGCUGGAGGCUUAAUACAUGCAAGUCGAGCGGGAUUGGGUAGCAAUACCCAUGAGAGCGGCGCACGGGUGAGUAACGCGUACACGACCUACCUUUGACUGGGGGAUAGCCCUGGGAAACUGGGAUUAAUACCGCAUAUAAUUCUGAUUAAUAAAGGAUUGGAAUGAAAGUUCAGGCGGUCAGAGAUGGGUGUGCGUCUGAUUAGCUAGUUGGUGAGGUAACGGCUCACCAAGGCGAUGAUCAGUAGGGGCGUGAGAGCGUGGUCCCCCACACGGGUACUGAGGA